UAUCUUGCGCAAUGGGCGAAAGCCUGACGCAGCCAUGCCGCGGGAAUGAUGAAGGUCUUGGGCUUGUAAAAUUCUUUCACCGGGGACGAUAAUGACGGUACCCGGAGAAAAAGCCUCGGCUAACUUCGUCAUAGCAGCCGCGGUAAUACGAAGGGGGCUAGCGUUGCUCGGAAUUACUGGGCGUAAAGGGCGCGUAGGCGGACAUUUAAGUCAGGGGUGAAAUCCCAGAGCUAAACUCUGGAACUGCCUUUGAUACUGGGUGUCUCGAGUGUGAGAGAGGUAUGUGGAACUCCGAGUGUAGAGGUGAAAUUCGUAGAUAUUCGGAAGAACACCAGUGGCGAAGGCGACAUACUGGCUCAUUACUGACGCUGAGGCGCGAAAGCGUGGGGAGCAAACA
rnacentral:rRNA from 1 species